ACAGAGAUAUUAAAGAUCACCAUGAAGCUGCUGAUUGUGUUUGCACUUCUUUGUGUAAUGAUGCCUCUGAUCAUUACUGCUCAAAAAUCGGGCAGCAGUGGAGCAGAGGAUAAUCCACCAGAAGAGCAUCUUGUUGACAAGAGAUACCGGGGGCUUUGGCGCAGAGUUUUGGGUCGCCUUGG